GACGAACGCUGGCGGCGUGCCUAAUACAUGCAAGUAGAACGCUGAAAGAGGAGCUUGCUUCUCUGGAUGAGUUGCGAACGGGUGAGUAACGCGUAGGUAACCUGCCUGGUAGCGGGGGAUAACUAUUGGAAACGAUAGCUAAUACCGCAUAAGAGUAGAUGUUGCAUGACAUUUGCUUAAAAGGUGCAGUUGCAUCACUACCAGAUGGACCUGCGUUGUAUUAGCUAGUUGGUGGGGUAACGGCUCACCAAGGCGACGAUACAUAGCCGACCUGAGAGGGUGAUCGGCCACACUGGGACUGAGACACGGCCCAGACUCCUACGGGAGGCAGCAGUAGGGAAUCUUCGGCAAUGGACGGAAGUCUGACCGAGCAACGCCGCGUGAGUGAAGAAGGUUUUCGGAUCGUAAAGCUCUGUUGUAAGAGAAGAACGAGUGUGAGAGUGGAAAGUUCACACUGUGACGGUAUCUUACCAGAAAGGGACGGCUAACUACGUGCCAGCAGCCGCGGUAAUACGUAGGUCCCGAGCGUUGUCCGGAUUUAUUGGGCGUAAAGCGAGCGCAGGCGGUUAGAUAAGUCUGAAGUUAAAGGCUGUGGCUUAACCAUAGUACGCUUUGGAAACUGUUUAACUUGAGUGCAAGAGGGGAGAGUGGAAUUCCAUGUGUAGCGGUGAAAUGCGUAGAUAUAUGGAGGAACACCGGUGGCGAAAGCGGCUCUCUGGCUUGUAACUGACGCUGAGGCUCGAAAGCGUGGGGAGCAAACAGG
rnacentral:rRNA from 1 species